CUCAUAGAAAAAAAAGAUAUUAGGUUGAAUAAUGUUUCUAGAAAAUUCUAAACAUCUUAGGUCAAAAAUUGUCAUGGAGAAAAAAAGUAACAAAUUAUUAUGAAGAGAGUCCUAACAUGUUAAGAAAAUGAAAAGAAAUUGAGAAAAAAAAUGUAGAAAUCUUAGGCCGAGAAAUAUAAUGGAAGAAAGAGUCAAAGUAAAAGGUAAAAAAAAGUCAAGGGGACAAAAAAGUCAGAAAUUCAAAAAAUAUGUUCGGUUGGAAAAAGUCAUAAAAAAAAGGCAUAGAUUCUUUGAAAAGAAUUGUAAAUAUGUUAAGUCAACACAUUUGGUCAAAAGAAGUCAUGGACGAAAAAGUCAACUAUUCACAAAAGGUCAUAUACAUUAUUUCGAAAAAUGUCUUAGAAAAAAAGUUCAAAUAUUUUAUUACAGAUGUCAAAAGUCAAAUGUAAGGUUGAAAGUACUUCUGAAUAAAACAUUUGAUGGCGUGUUUAACUAAGCCAUCAUGACAUUAUUUCUGCCUCCAGCACAGCUUUGUGAAGUGUGAACACGCGCGUCCGUGUGAUCGACUGUCAGGGGCAUCACUAAAAAGAGCAGAUGGAGUUGAUCUUUGUCUCCAGCUUUCGAUGAAUGGCAGAUUUAACAGCCCUUCUUUCUCACUGCCACAGACUCAAGGACAUAAUCAGUGUGAUGGCCGUCCACAAGAAGCCACCACUAUCUCGCUGCCGCCUCCCCACACGCUGACUCAUCGCAAUCAGCGCGUCGUUGACGCAUCGUUUUAGCAUGGCUAGUUUGCUCGCGUCAUUCUAAUAACACUCAAAGCCAAUGAAUAAAUGAAUAAAAGGGAAUUUGACAGCCCAGUUGUUUAUUAGCCGGCAUGACUUUCAUUCAAAAAGAAAUGAAAUGUUCCUGUUUUAGGUUUUUGUACGUUGAGCAGCUUUUGGCGUAUUUGUAUGAACUCAAAGUUUAAUUGAAUAAAUGUCUGCGAGAAUCGUUUCUUUUAGUCGAUAUGUCACAGCGAUGAGUCAUCUGUCUUUUAGGGGUUGCUUGGGUGAAAAUCUCAAUGGGAUUCAUUCAUAUCACUGCUUCAAAAAGUAGGUCUAAUCAGACUCCAAUCACCGGGAAGGUGAUGUGAACAUAUUGGGGGGGGGGGAUACCUUUUAUUAGCACUGUAGAUUGUAGUAUAGUGGCUUGCCAAUGCUAACUGGCACUACAGCUUUAAUGUUAAACAAUAAAAUAAUUUGUAAACUGUAAAAUUGAUACAUGCUUUAUUGAAAAAAAGCCACCCUGAGAAGAUGUGACAGAUGUCACUGUUUGAAAUACAUCCAGGCUUAUUCAAUAUUUUCUUUUGGUUGUAGUCUACAAUAAAAUUGUUUGCCCUUUACUGACUCAUCCGCAUUUCAGACAACCUUUUAGUUGUUCCCUUGGUUGUUAAUUAUUUCCGCCUCAAGCAAACACCUGCUGCAAAUUAAUAUUUGAUCAACUUAAAUUCCAAUCAGCGCUUUUCAAACGACAUUUCAAUCUGUGUCUCUUUGUCAUACAGUAUACAAGCCGUUUGCAUACAGUAUACAAGAAAAAUGCAUACAGUAUACAAGCAAAAUGCAUAAAGUAUACAAGCAAAAUGCAUAAAGUAUACAAGAAAAAUGCAUACAGUAUACAAGCCGUUUGCAUACAGUAUACAAGAAAAAUGCAUACAGUAUACAAGCCGUUUGCAUACAGUAUACAAGAAAAAUGCAUACAGUAUACAAGCCGUUUGCAUACAGUAUACAAGAAAAAUGCAUACAGUAUACAAGCCGUUUGCAUACAGUAUACAAGAAAAAUGCAUAAAGUAUACAAGCCGUAUGCAUACAGUAUACAAGCAAAUGCAUACAGUAUACAAGCCGUAUGCAUACAGUAUACAAGCAAAUGCAUACAGUAUACAAGCCGUAAGCAUAAAGUACACAAGCAGCCAGCUUAUGCAGUCAAUUCCU
ensembl:lncRNA